rnacentral:rRNA from 1 species
UGAAAAAACUCAUUAAAGCACAAAAAAGCAGAGACACUCCUCGUACCUUUUGCAUCAUGAUUCAGCUAGUAAAAUACAUGCAAAGUGACCUCUAGUUUGUAACCCCGAAACCCGACGAGCUACUCCGGGACAGCCUAUCAAGGGCCAACCCGUCUCUGUGGCAAAAGAGUGGGAAGAUCCCCGAGUAGAAGCAAAAGACCUACCGAGCCGGGUUAUAGCUGGUUGCCCAAAUAAAUGAAUAAAAGUUCAGCCCCGUAUAGCCCAACUCACAGCAGUUUCACUACAAAAGACAAAGAGCUAUUAAGCGGGAGUUAAUCAGGGGAGGUACAGCUCCCCUGAUAAAGGACACAACCUUAUAAAGGAGAUUAAGGAACAUAAUCAGUAAAGGCCACAGGUCUCAGUGGGCCUGAAAGCAGCCACCCGACCAGAAAGCGUUAAAGCUCAGACCAAAAUAACCCUAUUAUUAUAUUAAACACUCCAAAAUCCCUAACAUAAAUGGGCCUUUCUAUGCCCCCAUAGAAGAGAUUAUGCUGAAAUGAGUAACAAGAAGUUUGAACUUCUCCCCGCACAAGUGUAAAUCGAAUUAGACCCACUACCGACAAUUAACGAACCCAAUAACAGAGGGCCCCACAUUACCGCCGUAGAAGGCCAGGAAAAACAUGUCCCCCUAAUCGUUAACCCCACACAGGAGUGCUAAACCAAGGAAAGACUAAAAGAAAAAAAAGGAACUCGGCAAACCUAAACCCCGCCUGUUUACCAAAAACAUCGCCUCUUGCCAACUCUAUUGUAUAAGAGGUCCCACCUGCCCUGUGACCAAAAGUUUAACGGCCGCGGUAUCCUAACCGUGCGAAGGUAGCGCAAUCAAUUGCCUUUUAAAUGAAGGCCUGUAUGAAUGGUAUAACGAGGGUUUAACUGUCUCUUUUUUCCAGUCAGUUAAAUUGAUCUGUCCGUGCAGAAGCGGACAUAAUUAUACAAGACGAGAAGACCCUAUGAAGCUUUAGACACUAACCAACCAUGAAAAGCAAUAAAUUACAUGUACCCCAAACACCCAUGGACCUGGCAUAAUAGUCUUAGGUUGGGGCGACCACGGGAGAUAACAAAGCUCCCGAGCAGAUCAGGGAAAUCCUGAAACUAAGAGUUACAACUCUAAGUCACAAAAAUUUUGACUGAAAUGAUCCGGCCAAAGCCGAUUAACGAACCAAGUUACCCUAGGGAUAACAGCGCAAUCCCCUUUCAGAGUCCAUAUCGACAAGGGGGUUUACGACCUCGAUGUUGGAUCAGGACAUCCUAAUGGUGCAGCCGCUAUUAA